UUUGUGCAAUUCAUGCCAUCCCUCAAAGCCUGACCGUGCAGAACCCCUGAAGCUCUCCUGGGAGGAACCAUCACCACCUUCAGAAAGGCCACCUUGACUUUGGUCACUUUACAGGGGACAAAAACCAACUCUGUUCUUGGAGCCACGAGGGCCACUCCUUUAAGUGACAAAAGGCGCCCCCUUACAGGAACCCUGAAUUCCACCUCGGAGUAUCAAUACCUCCAUGAACCAGGCUGCAUAUAUUUACAGAGGGAAUCAUAUCACCCAUUUCCCUGGUGGUAAAGAUCAUGACUCACCUUCUUCUCAUUCCCUAAGAAACAAUAUUGAAGUUAGACCAGUUAAUUACUCUGUAAUGGACUGAACAGUUGGAA